rnacentral:tRNA from 1 species
GUUGUAGCUCAAUGGUAGAGCUCUUGCCUACCAUAUAUGAGACACUGGGUUCAAUCCUCAGCACCACA